CGGGAUAUGUAGUCUUCUUUAGCCACGAUGGCCAGUGUCCAAACUCCUGCUGUGAUUCUACACAGCAGAGAUGGUAUGUGGCCUCCAGUUCCUCCAUGGACACAACAUCGUCCACCGAGAUCUAAAGCCGCUCAAUUUCUUGUUGGAUGCAGAUGGCCACAUCCGUAUCAUCGACCUCGGGCUGGCCCAGGAUGGUGUCACUGCCUCCAAUAAGAUCCGUGGAGUGACAGGAACCUUCCAUUACAUGGCCCCUGAG